GAUGAAGAACGUAGCGAAAUGCGAUACUUGGUGUGAAUUGCAGAAUCCCGUGAACCAUCGAGUCUUUGAACGCAAGUUGCGCCCGAAGCCGUCAGGCCGAGGGCACGCCUGCCUGGGCGUCACACGCCGUUGCCCCCCCGCGCCCCGCCCCCAACGCUUUGGGAGCGACCGCGGGGCGGGCUGAUGAUGGCCUCCCGUGCGCUCCGCCGCGCGGUUGGCCCAAAUACCGAGUCCCCGGCGACGGGCGCCACGACGAUCGGUGGUUGAGAGACCUCUGUCGCAAGUCGUGCGCGCCCGUCGCGUCACGCGGGCUCGCAUAGCGCCUCGCGCCGCACCCGGUGCGGAGCUUUCAACGCGACCCCAGGUCAGGCGGGGUUACCCGCUGAAUUUAAGCAUAUCAAUAAGCGGAGGA
rnacentral:misc_RNA from 1 species